AGUCGGACUAGCCAAAAUCUGAUCGCGUACUGAGUCAAGAUCAUUAGGAAGCCCAGCAAGAGUAAGAACUAGAAACAACUUUUGUCGUUGCUCUUGCUUCUUUGCAACGCUAGCAGAAACUGGCAUCAACGUCUCAAAUUCCUCCAUAACUGCCUGUACUUCUCCCAAGUAAGUAGACAUAUCUAAUUCCUGUUUCUUUAAAUUUGUCAUCCGCGAAAUCACAUCAUAGAAAUGAGUUAUGUCAUUAGUGUAUAAAGUACGAGCCUUUUCCCAAACAAAAUAACAUGUUUGGAAUGGACGAAACAAGGGCAUCAACUUGGAAUCAAUAGAUUGCCAUAAAAUAC
rnacentral:lncRNA from 1 species